rnacentral:rRNA from 1 species
CCUACGGGUGGCAGCAGUGAGGAAUAUUGGUCAAUGGACGCAAGUCUGAACCAGCCAUGCCGCGUGCAGGAUGAAGGCUCUAUGAGUUGUAAACUGCUUUUGUAAGAGGGUAAUAUCAGAUACGUGUCUCCGCUUGAAUGUAUCUUACGAAUAAGGAUCGGCUAACUCCGUGCCAGCAGCCGCGGUAUUACGGAGGAUCCAAGCGUUAUCCGGAUUUAUUGGGUUUAAAGGGUGCGUAGGCGGUUUUAUAAGUUAGAGGUGAAAAUUCGGGGCUCAACUCCGGACGUGCCUCUAAGACUGGAUGACUAGAGAAUGUAUGCGGUAGGCGGAAUGGAUGGUGUAGCGGUGAAAUGCGUAGAGAUCAUACAGAACACCGAUUGCGAAGGCAGCUUACCAAACCAUAUCUGACGUUGAGGCACGAAAGCGUGGGGAGCAAACAGGAUUAGAUACCCUUGUAGUC